rnacentral:lncRNA from 1 species
UGUAAAGUGCCGGGACCCGAGAUUGCGGAAAUGGAGACGCCGUGUGUGGAAAGGUGGGCGUAUGGGGCGGAAAGGGAACCUGAUUGACACCGGUCAUCCGGUGGUUAGUGGAGACGCCUUCUGGCAGUGUAGCCGCCCCUGUCUGCUCCGACGCGAGCGCCCCUGGUAGUACCUAGGCAGCACCCGUUUCGGAGGCAGGCACGCGCCGUUUAAGAGCCCGCGGUCUGGCGCGGUAGUGACCUGCGACCAGCCCAGCGGAGCCUCCAACGGUGGGCGACCACACUUACCGUCUUGCACUUU